GUAUAUUAGGUUACUAACUCGUUUUCUUUAGGAAAGUUAGAGUCGUCAGAGUAUAUUUUGAACAAGGCCUAUUUUAUGUGGCCUUGAAUUUAAGUAGGUUGGCGUACAUUGGGGACACUGGACCUUGUAAAUGCACGGCCCCCAGUUAAGAGCCUUGGUCUUAGGGCACUGAAAUGGAUCCAACCAUGAGAUGGGCUUGGAGUGCAACCCACCCAUUGAG
rnacentral:lncRNA from 1 species